UACGUAGGGUGCAAGCGUUGUCCGGAAUUAUUGGGCGUAAAGAGCUCGUAGGCGGUUUUGUCGCGUCUGCUGUGAAAACCCGAGGCUCAACCUCGGGCCUGCAGUGGGUACGGGCAGACUAGAGUGCGGUAGGGGGAGAUUUGGAAUUCCUGGUGUAGCGGUGGAAUGCGCAGAUAUCAGGAGGAACACCGAUGCGAAGGCAGAUCUCUGGGCCGUAACUGACGCUGAGGAGCGAAAGCAUGGGGAGCGAACAGG
rnacentral:rRNA from 1 species